rnacentral:lncRNA from 1 species
UUUUUUGGGUAAAAUUAGUCUAGGUGAAACUGAGAAAGCUCUGGCUGCUGGGGAAGGUAUUUAGGGUGAUGGGAACCAUAUUUAUGGUCUUUUACUAAUUAUUAUAAGGCCUAUGAAUGGUGUCAUAAAUAAAGUUGCAUGUAUAAGAGACUAAAUAACUGAAACGUUAAAAAUUCAUUCUCUAACUUCAUUUCUGUGACUUUAGUGCUUAUCAUUUGCAACAAUUCAGCUACAAAUAGAGGAAUACACACACAAAAUUAUGCAAUCAAGUAACCGAUUUUAUGAGAUGCUUUAUGUACAAAGAUAUUUGGUUGAUGCAAGUUACUCCAUAAGAAGAAGAUAGAAUAUGUAUGAUUAUGAAUCAUAUAUGCAUUUGUUAAGAAUCUACCCAUGAGCCAGGAUCUGUACUACUCAUUGUAUAUCAAAUGAUGAAUAAGCCACGGUUCUUUUCUCUAGGAGUUUACACUGUCCCAGAUUAAUAAAUAAAUACCUGGAGUAAGGAACUUGAUGAAAAAGAAAUACUCUACAGGGUAUAAAAUUUGAAAAUGCAUGCACAGUCUUUCAGGUCCUUCAUACAAAGCACACAUAUAUCUUUAUACCUCUUAGAAUUUGCUUGUUAAUACCCAUGUGGAAGUUCAGGAGGCUGACAAAGGAAUCUCAAUAUAAGAAAUAUUUGAUGGAACCAGAGUAUUGGCUAGUCUCAUUUGAAUUGUAAGAAAUGUUUCAGAGAAUAUUCAAAAACCGUUCUUAUAGCUCGAGCGAUGGAAGAUAAUCUAGUUUAAGACUAACACUAUUCAAAAGCAUUAUGUAUUUAAAAGAGUGCUUUAUGAUUAGGUAUAAUUGGUUGUAGUAGUGAUAAGACACUGGAAAAAAAUGUCAUUAUUCGUUACUAUUUUUUAAGAUAAGAGAAGCCUGACAUUAUGGAACAAUUUUCACUACCAUGAUGUAAAAAACUGUACCAAUAAGGAGAAUUUUAAAAAUAAAGCAAAAAAAGUACAAUGCUUCAAAUACUAUCCUCUUUUUUUUUUUUUUUUCACUUAGAAAAUGGUUAAGAGCAGUUCAGCCCUACAAUUUUUUUCCAGCAGAGAAACAAGGACAGUCAGUGUUAGCAGCAAUAGAGGACCCUCAUGAAACCAUGGCCAUUUCUGCUUUUGAACAUGGUCAAUACCUAAUUUUUCCUCCAUCUUGCUGCAGAAUCCCCCACUGAUUUAUUCAUUUUUAGCUGGCACUCUUUACUCUUUUUAAGUGUCUGCCAAAAUCUUCUACUUAACUACUAUGGCAAGAAAAAAAGUCAUCAAAUUAGGAGAGUGAAGAAAGAAUAAGACCAUUGUCUGUGCAAGUACCUUCCAAACUGGCCUGUCAUUUUCCCCUGGAAGGGAGAUUUGAAUUGAAUCAACUGCACAAAAUCUUAGGUUCUGUUCUCGGACUUAUCACUAUGAUUUCAUGUGAGUUCAAAUCUCUUCAAUCUUACCAGCCUUCCUUCUUUAGAGGGAAGACAAGUUGUGUAUGAUUUCUUGUGUUGCAUAUAUAUGGGCAAGCGUCUGGUUAUGGCUAAUUGGAUACCUGAUAGCUUUGACUUUUGGGAGGUGUCUCCCUUUAAUUUUUUUUUGUUUGAUGGUAUUAGAUGAUUUCAGUAAUUCUAGUAUAAACAUAUAUGUAUCUCUAUAUAUGUCAUGUGUACCUAUGUGUGAGUGUAUGUGUAUAGCAUAUAAUGUGUGUAGCUUUAUAAAAGAUAGCUUUAUAAUAAGCACAUUGUUUAUUGUCCUUUGACCAAGUACAAGGGCUAAUUUGAGAACUUUUGGAAUGAUAGUCAGAAAUCUCUCUGAUACCUUCAUGCAUCUGCGUGCCUCUAAGAAUAGAAAUGAAUAUGAUAAUUCAGCAUGGUAACCGUGCAGAUCAGAAAAUAAAACCCAUUGGUUUUUCUUACAAAACAAAAACUGAAAUGUGAAGUUUUGCUGUUAUUGUUGUUGUUUUAGACCAGAGGCUGGCAUUUCUUCUGGUUUCUCUCUCAUCCCCCAAGGCCAUUUUCCCCCACCACUCUUGAUAUGAUGACUCUCCACUAACCCCAACGAGGGGAUCUAGUUUGAAAGCUCAAGAAAAUUCAACGCUAACUGCUAUUUGCACCAAUAAAACAUGGUAUGUUAUCCUUGCUGAUAAACAUACAUAAAAAUCCUCAAUCUUUCCUCCAAAUUUUACAAUUCUCUGAGUAAAUUAAUAAAAAAGAAACAAUUCUAUUAGCAUGAAUAAAAUUAUUAUGUAAAUUGGAGUUCCCAUCGAGGCACAGCGGAAACAAAUCCGACUAGGAAUCACAAGGUUGUGAGUUUGAUCCCUGGCCUCGCUUAAUGGGUUAAGGAUUCGGCAUUGCUGUGAGUAGUGGUGUAGGUCAAAGACGUGGUUCAGAUCUGAUGUUGCUGUGACUGUGGUAUAGGCUGGCAGCUGUAGUUCCAAUUUGACCCCUAGCCUAGGAACCCCCAUAUGACGUGGGUAAGGCCCUAAAAAGCAAAAAAAAAAAAAAAAUUAUUAUGUAAAGAACUUUAGCUAAGUAAACAUAAGUGAUGGUAAAUCAUAGGCAUAGAAUCUUUUUAAAAAAAUUUUUAAGAGUAUAGUUGAUUUACAGUGUUGUGCCAAUUUCUGCUGUGCAGAGGCAUAGAAUCUCUAUUGUUUCUUCUGUCUGGAAGGAGACUUUUCUAGUCUUUGCCUGCUUUCUUGUGUCUCAUUGAGGUUACAGUUCAAAUACCAUCUACUGAGAAUGGCGAUUUUUAACUAUCCCAUCUUACAAAGCAUCCCAGGCUCCCAUCUCCCCAUUACCUUGUUUAGUUUCUAUGCACUUUGAUCUCUAUUUAUGUUCUUUUGUUAAUUGGCUGGCUGCCUCUCCCACUAGCCUGUAAAGCUUCAUAAGAGCUGAGAACUUUACUUGCCAAAUCACACACUAUUUCUAGCACCUAGAAACAUGCUUGGCAUAUAGUAAGUACUCAUGAAUAUCUGAUCAGUGAAUGAAUGGACACAUAAAAUGCUCUUGUUUUUGCUGUAAAGGAAAGGAUUGUAUAAAAAUAAAAGGAUGACCAAUUGCAAGCCAAACUCAAAACUAAUUUUACAUAGAAGUACUUGUAAUUUACCAGACAAUACUUACUGCACACUUGACUUCUCAGACCUCAGUUGUAUUAAAUUUCCUGAAAUUUUUUGUAUAAUUGCCAUCCUACAUAAGUGUGAAUAAUAUGCAAAAUGAAUAAUAACAAAUAAUAGCAAAUGCAAAGUAUUACAGAGAAAUAAAAUGGCUUCUCCAUGUGACAACUGGCUCAAAGUUGAAUUCUUAAAUAAUUGAAUUAGAAUCAGUACUUUUUUUUAAAAAUGAAUUUGCAGAUUGAGACAAUAAUUCUAUCCACACUAUAAACUCAUGAAACAUAGCAAUUAUAAAUUAAUCAAAGUACACAGUAGCAAUAAAAAUUCAUAAGCUAGUUCCCUCAUAGGAAGGUCAUCUAUGAACAACCAAUCAAGCAGUGUAGUACAAAGCAACAGGAAUUAUUCAUUUUGAUCUGUGUUCUGAUGGUUAAAUGCUAUUGCACUGUUUUUGAAUUCUCAUUGAAAGGAAGAACUUUAAAACAAUGGUGUUUUCUUAGCCAUAAAAUCAAAAUCUGAGUUGCAUGAUUCUUAAAGUUCUUCUCAUGGUCAUCUUUUUUGCUGUUAAAAUAUUAUAAAUUAUUAUGAUUCAAAAUCAUAAUAUAAUUACAGGAAAUGAUGGUUUGAAAGGAUUUUGAUCAAAUUAUUUUACAAGAGCACUUGCUUACAACACUUUAUUUUUCUAUGUUUAAGCGUCAGAUCUGCCAUAAGGCAGAAGUUUUGUUAGCAGUUGCAAACUAGAAAAAUUCAGUUGCAGAUUCACAAUAGGCAUUUUCAUAUGUUUUGAAUAGAACAUCCAAAUUCAUUCUCUAUUGUAUUGAGACAAUGUAUAUAAAAAUUAUGUUUUGUAAACUAACCACCUUUCCUUGGCCUUGCUGCAGGGAAGUUUUAUUUUUAAUGUUAAACCCCACUGAUGAUGAUCUAUGUGAUUCAUUUCAAUAUCUGUACUCAAAAAGCGAAAAUUUGAUAAAUAUAAUAAAAUUUCAGAAUGAGGGUUUGUGUUACUAUAAAAGGUGGACAUAUGUGGGGAAAUGUGUAUUUGCUAAACUAGAAUCUUUUUUUCACUGUAAUGAUAACUGAUUCUCUUUCUCUAACGUAGUAUCUUCCAAGUCAGACCACUAAGAAAAACUGAUUCUGAAAAUCUGACAUAACUGUGCCGGAAUUUCAUGUGAUUAUGUUGAAGAUUUUCUAUCAAGAACAUGUCCUUACAUAGCUGAAGGUUUGGGAAACUAGAAGACCUCUAAAAAUUAAAUGUCAGUUUGUUAAAAUCAGUGACAAAUUAGAAGAAUUUAUUAUGAAACAACAUGGAGACUUAUAGGUUUACAUCUAGUACAGCCAACUGGAGACUCUCUUUGGUCAUUACAAUGUAAAGGCAUUUUGAAAUAUUUUUGAAACACAAGUUUGGAGUCAAAAUAAUUUCUGAGCCUCUUUUUCACUGCACUGAAGAAAAUUUUAGUUAUUUACCCAAAGAUGCUUGCAAAGCCCUAAUACCUUGAGAAGAAAUUGAUAUAGAUGGUAAUUGAUUAACUGAUGCAUUGGUCCUGGACAACAGAGUUUCUAAGUCCCCCAUGUCUUCUUGCAAGACUAAGUUGCAAUAUGGAAUUGUAUAUAUUAUAAAGUCACCCCUCCGAACUUGUAUGUAAUUCAUACCAUCCAGUUACAUUCUUAAAUUUUUCUAGAAAAAGUUAAAUUCUUAAAUUUUUCAGACCAGGCCAUGGCUUGAUUCAGUGUAUAUUUUGCAAGAGAAUAUUAUUUAAUAGUUUUUAACUGAGAAAAAGUUCAAUCAUUUUAUAGUUUUAUUUUUAGUUUAAAUGAUUUUUAACAAACUAUUUAUAUUUUCUAAGUCUUCUUGUAUUCUUUUCUUACAAUCAUUGCUAAACAUAAAUUGGCCCUUCUCUUAAUGAAAUCAACUGCUGAGGACAUAGUCUUUUGAAGAAGGUUUACUUUAAAAAUAAUCAAGUCCAGAAAUGAUAUUGCAACAUCAUAUUCUCAUGGCACCUUAGUCAUAAUCCAAGAAAAUAUUGUUGUUAUUUGAAAACAUUAAGUACCUAUAAUAAUAUGUGUGGCAAUCUGGCUAAGGAGCAUAUUAAAAUCUACCCUGUUGAAAAUGCCAGGAAAAAUUAGUUUAUGGAAAACAAAAAGAGUUCCCAUCGUGGCUCAGCAGUUAACGAACCUG